CACCGCAACCCCGCCUUGAGCUCCCUUUCCCCACCCACCUCUAGCCACUGCUGGGCUGCGGGCGGCGAAGGUCCACCGCGCCGGCAGAUUGGGGAAGGGGCCGGAGGGAAGUCAAGAGGGACCCCAGUGGUCCUGCUUGGAUGCUGCUGCUCCCUGGCUCUCGAAACCAUAGUGUCUUAAGAAGCUGGCAGCGGUGCAAUAAAGAACUUAAAACAAUGGAAGAGCGGAAAAUGAAGAGGAGGAGUCCUAAGUCUUUUAGUGCCCACUCAACUCAGGGUGUUAAUGCCAAAAAAAAUGCCAUUCCCGUUAGCAAAAGCACUGGGUUUUCAAACCCAACAGCACAGGCAACCUCACAAAGGCCAAAGUUAAAAAGAGUGAUGAAAGAGAAGAGCAGGCCUCAGGGCGGAGAAGGAAAAGGUGCGCAGUCGACUCCGAUUCAGCACUCCUUCCUCACCGAUGUCUCCGACGUCCAGGAGAUGGAGAGAGGGCUCCUGAGCCUGCUGAAUGAUUUCCACUCUGGGAAACUGCAAGCGUUUGGAAAUGAAUGUUCUAUUGAACAGAUGGAACAUGUUCGGGGAAUGCAGGAGAAACUAGCUCGCUUGAACUUGGAGCUCUAUGGGGAGUUAGAGGAGCUUCCUGAGGAGAAGAGAAAGACAGCAAGUGACUCCAAUCUGGAUCGGCUUCUGUCCGAUUUAGAAGAAUUGAAUUCUUCCAUGUAUCCUUUGCCUCCUAGCAACAGUGAGAAGUUUAUGACGUAUAUUGUCUGAAUUUCGGCGUGCUCUUGGCUUCUUUCUGCGCUUUUGUCUCCUCAGUAUCUUCUGUCCUCUCAGCUGAGCUCCUGUUAAACAAGCGGGCCUAUUGUCUCGUCACUUCUCUCAAUUCUAAACAAGGCAACCUGGUGUAGUAGGAGAGCAUUCCAUUUGGAAUUCUUGGUUCCAGUAAGCAACAUACAAAAACUUCAUUUGGCAGAUGCACAAGAAGUUCCGAAUACUUCUACCAGCUAAAAUGAAAUGCAGUUUGCUUUCUUGUGACUUGAAGAAAAGCAGCAUUCUUUACUUUUUCAGCUGUCCAGUAGCAGAAUCAUCUUCCACAAUAAGGAAUUAAAGUAAUUACAGUGCAAUGAUUGCUUUCACAUUCUGCUUUUAGUGAAUUUGGCUUGCUGUGAUUCACCACAACUGGGGGCCAAGGCCUUGUUGAAGGCGUAAUCAGGAAAUGUGGUGCAGAGAUUGCGCUGCUGUGCUUUAUACUGUGGCCUUAUGGGUUAUACUUGAAACGCAUUGUGCUCAGUGUUGGUGAUGGGGCUGAAGGAUGUGUCCAUCCUGAGCUCACCAGACUAAUAAUUCCAGUGUCCUUCAUAAGUUGCUGACGCUCAGGCUUCUCGUGGCAGCCUAGCUUCUGUUUACGUUAGACAAUCAGUACACACUUCUGGUGUGUUUCUCAGUGGCCAGUGACAACAAAAUACUAAAUAAGUAUUUGUGAAAUUUGCUAUUUUUAAUAAAGUGAUUGUUUUAAAUUAA